CAGCCGCCGCGGUAAGACAGAGGAUGCAAGCGUUAUCCGGAAUGAUUGGGCGUAAAGCGUCUGUAGGUGGCUUUUCAAGUCCGCCGUCAAAUCCCAGGGCUCAACCCUGGACAGGCGGUGGAAACUACCAAGCUGGAGUACGGUAGGGGCAGAGGGAAUUUCCGGUGAGCGGUGAAAUGCGUUGAGAUCGAAAAGAACACCAACAGCGAAAGCACUCUGCUGGGACGACACUGACACUAAGAGACGAAAGCUAGGGGAGCAAAUGGGAUUAGAUACCCCCGUAGUCCCUGUCUCUUAUACA
rnacentral:rRNA from 1 species